CGUGUUUCAAGACGGGUGAAAUGGGUGGAUUAUGUCGUCGGUGGCAGUGUGGAGGGUUAGGGGAGAACGCCCGAAGGCGCUCCCAUUUGUAACCCUCGUCUCGCUAUCGAUGACUCGGCGUCGGCAGUACACCGCCCACGAGGGGCGGCUGAAACCUCGGCCACUCUCCACUCAUUUCCUUCCCUAUCAACAAUUUCACAUACUAUUUCACUCUCUUUUCAAAGUUCUUUUCACCUUUCCUUCACAGUACUUGUUCGCUAUCGGUCUCUCACCAGUAUUUAGCUUUAGAUGGAGUUUACCACCCACUUUGAGCUGCAUUCCCAAACAACUCGACUCUUUGAUAAGGCAAUACAUGGAGAACGGUUAGCCAGACGGGGUUGUCACCCUCUAUGACGUACUAUUCCAAGCAACUUGGGUUAGCUUUCUCCAAUGCCAAAUCUUCAAAUUACAAUCCCGAGGGUUUCAAAUUUGAGCUUUUGCCGCUUCACUCGCCGUUACUGAGGCAAUCCCUGUUGGUUUCUUUUCCUCCGC
rnacentral:rRNA from 1 species